rnacentral:lncRNA from 1 species
GCCAGAUUUGCUGGCCGAUAAACAAGGGGCAGCAGGCCAGGGCCCGGGUGUAGCAAGAAGCAUCCCAUCAGAGGCUCCUGGCUGGGCGCUUUUGUGUCUGGAACCCAAAGUGGCUGAUAUAGUUUGGCUGAGUCCCCACCUAAAUCUCGUUCUGAAUUGUAGCUUCCACAGUUCCCACAUGUCAUGGGAGGGACCCGGUGGGAGGUAAUUGAAUCAUGGGGGCAGGUCUUUCCCGUGCUGUUCUUGUGAUAGUGAAUAAGUCUCACGAGAUUUGAUGGUUUAAUAAAGGAGAGUUCCCUUGCACACACUGUCUCUUGCCUGCCACCAUGUAAGACGUGCCUUUCACCUUACACCAUGAUUGUGAGGCCUCCCCAGCCCCAUGGAACUGUGAGUCCAUUAAACCUCUUUUUCUUCAGAAAUUACCCAGACUUGCGUAUGUCUUUAUUAGCAGCACAAGAAUGGAAUAGUACAGUGGCUACGAACACAGAAACCACACUCCAGGCCCAGUCCCCGGCAGUGGCCUCCAGGACCCACUCUGAGCUAGAUCACAUCAGUGAUGGGCUGGCCAAUCUUUAAGGAGAAUGACUCUACUCUUAGGAAGCCAGCAGGUUGGAGGAGGAAACACAUUCAAAUCCCGAGCACAAGGAGCUGGGAGAAGACCGGUUAUGGGAGCGGCAUUCCUGGAAGCUCUGAAGUCACAGCCCCACUGAUGAAAGGAUGUAAGAACCUAAGAGUGGAAACCUGCCCCUGGGAUUCAUAUGGUGUCCCCUCAGGACUCAAACCCUGGUCUGGAGGAAAGAUGAAAGAAAGAAAAUUAAGGAAAAGAGGAAAACAAGCAAAAAACUCAGCAAAGAUGUCAUUGCAUAAUAGUCCAUUAUGCCUCCAAUUGAGCCGUCAUGAACUAUCAAAGAAAUAAUUGCGCAAUAAGCCCAUAAUGGCUUAAUCGUGUCAACAUCUUUGCA